GCGGGAAUCCUGCAGGCUAUUUCAAUGGCCCAGGAGAGGAACGGUGACCUGUCCCUGGGUGGUAGCGGUGGAGGUAGUUGGAAGCAGAUGGAGUCUGUCACACAUGGAAGGGAGAGAACGUAUCGGUUGCUGGCACUGGUUGUGAGAGAAGAGAAGAGGAAGAAGAAUAAGCUAAUUUUAUGUCUGUACAAUAUUUAUGAAUAAACCAGAGGAGCCACGAGUCUGAGUUCAAUACCCAAGUCCUAAGGUUGCAGAGAACUAGGAAGUUUCGUAUGUUUCCUGUGAUUUUCGUAUGUUUCCUGUGAUAAUCGUAUGUUUCCUGUGAUAACACCACGCGUAGUAAAGUGCAACAGCGAGAGAAAUGCCCUUAUUUCUCUGUAUUAGCACAUGCAGAAGGAUGGAGAAGUUGGAGAAAACAGGAAGAAAUCUCAGCACUUGUCAAACGUGACUGGCAGCUUUACCACCCAUCUCUGUUCUGCGGAUUUGAAAUGUUUCACAAUAGACUUGGUGGAUGGUGGAUGCAGGGAUGACACCACUUUCAGAGAAGAGAUAAACACAUGUCUAAAACUCACGGAAACCCUCCUGGGAAGUGACAGCCUUUCAAUUUGUAAAUGUUUCUGAGCACCUAAGUGUUGCGCAACAAUGCCCGGGUCUUGGGGAGCCUGCAGAGAAUGAGCGAUGUUUACAGAUGUCAGAAGGAGGGAUACGCCACUGGCAGAACCAUCUCAGGCUCCAGGACAAACAUUCCCCCAGAGGAGUCAAGCUGUUGAGUUAGAAUGGAGUGAAUCUGAUAAAAAAAAAAAAAAAUUCUAGAAUGGGGUGAAUUUGAUACAAAUCUGCUGAAAUAUUUCUCAUUGGCUGCAGCUUUCCAGGAUUUCAUUC